rnacentral:rRNA from 1 species
GCCUACGGGACGCAGCAGUGGGGAAUAUUGGUCAAUGGGCGGGAGCCUGAACCAGCCAAGCCGCGUGAGGGAAGAAGGUACAGCGUAUCGUAAACCUCUUUUGUCAGGGAACAAAGGCGGGGACUAGUCCCCGGAUGAGGGUACCUGAAGAAAAAGCAUCGGCUAACUCCGUGCCAGCAGCCGCGGUAAUACGGAGGAUGCGAGCGUUAUCCGGAUUUAUUGGGUGUAAAGGGAGCGCAGGCGGCACGGCAAGCCUGAUGUGAAAGCCCGCGGCCCAACCGCGGGACUUCAUUGGGAACUACCGG